AGUCUCGUAGCUCAGUUGGUUAGAGCACUUCUCUGAUAAGGAAGGGGUCCACGGUUCAAAUCCGCGCGGGACUAC
rnacentral:tRNA from 1 species